AGUGAUGUCAGCUCCCAGCUCGGUGCCUACCCGGAUUCCUGACAUGGUGUAGUGCAGGCAGGGUGGGGAAGGGACGGGGAAGGACCCGUGUGCUGCGAGCCGGCGGCCGGGCCGGAGUGCUGGGGCUUUGAACUCCGAGAGGAGGUGGACCAGAACUUUUGGAACUAGUGCCGGCGGCUCUCCACCCCCCAGUAUAAAAGAACGUGUGGAUCACUUUGCUAAGUACAUCCAAGAUUUGAAGAACUGAAAUAAAUCAGCAUUAAACCUGCUUUUUAAAAACACACCGUUUUCACAUAUGUUGUUGAAUCAUUGACACUGACACACACCCAACAGCUUUGUAACUCAGGCCUGAAGGAAGCUGACCUCACACACUGGUUUCGUCCUUGAGGCACGGCCUCAUUACCUCAGGAACACCAGGCAGCGCUUCCACACAGUGCUUGGAGCCAUUUUAAACAGCACAAGGGUUGAUCGACAAGCACAAACGUGAAAAAUGUGGCACAGAAUAGACCAUGAAAAGGACACUUUAUGGCAGGAGGGCUGAACUGAUGCAGGAAAGUGGAGCAUCGUCUUGU
rnacentral:sRNA from 1 species